GUUGAAUUUCACUAGCAAUUGUUUUGCUCAGCUAGCUUUGGUGGUAAUAAGUGUAAGUUACUAUCUCUGGUAAGCACAGCUUCAUUUCAGCAGUUAACACGGUUGGCUGCUUGCCAGCCAUCUCUGAUAUGACUGAGGCUGGAUCAUGCAUCUUUGAAUCUUGCAUUUUAAAAAUCAAUGACAACACAAACGGUCUUGUAAAUGUUCUUCCCAGCUUAAUACCGUCCUGGUUUAGUACAAUUCCCCACCAAAACCCUCAUUCUUCCACAUGCCCCGGACAAAACAUAUUCUACUUUCACUUGAAACACAUGACAAAACUAUUAAGGCUAAUUGCUGUUUGGCGGCAAGAUAACCACAGCGAUGGUCUAAAGUUAAAAUCAUGGGGAGGGGGGAGAAACUAGUCACGCCGCUCCUCUGCCCGGGGAUACGCCUCUCGGCGAGCUGAGAGGGAGGCUCAGGCUGGCUCCUGUCACAAGGGAGCACCGAACUAUUUGGGUGUUGACUGAAGCACGUUUUCGGGGCUCCCCAGGGAGAAGCGCACGCCGAGCAGAGCAGACGCGGCAGGCCCCCGCUGCACGCAGCUGGUCUCUCUGAGCUCCCCCUCAGCUAGGUCACACCCCCAGCCCGGGGGGGAGCAAACCCCACCCAGGCGAGCGUCAGGCUGGGUGUGGUUGGUGUCCGCGCAAAUAUGCACAGCUCGCCCGCGCUGGCGGGCUGCGGCGGGGCUCCGGCUCGGCCCCGGGGGAGCGCCCCCCCUUGUCAAUGAGCGGCUUGGCCGCCUGCCUUUCCCAGCGCCCCGACUCUCGCAUGGGCCCCUCCGCCAGCCGGGCGCCCAGCCCACGGGCUGUGCCGGCGGCAGCAGGCUCCGGCUCCCAGUGAGCGGGGGAUGAUGCCCAAGGAGAAGCCGCUGUGGAAGGGCUCCGCGUUUCGCCUCUGCCUGCUUUCGGCCGCGGUCUUCCUGUGCCUGCAGCUGGGGCUGAGGCGCUCCUGCGCCCCGGCGGAGAAGGCGGGAGCAGAUGCGGCCAGGGCUUUGCCCGCCCGGGACACUGAGCAGCGCCUAGGGCCGGCCCGCAGCAGCCGCAAGGACCAAGCGGAGGCGCACCUGGCGCCGGAGGCGGCGACCCCCAGCAGGAGGCGGGUGACCUACCUGAGAAGCAGCCGCAGGAGGAGCUCGGAGCCCACCUGCUGCCCCCUGCAGUCUCUGGGCAGCAGCCGCAGGAAGACAGAGGUACCUUUUGAGGGAAGUGUAGAACUGCCAGGAUCUUUUCUUCAUACUCUAGCAGGCCAGGGAAGAGGACAGAGAAAUGGGAUAAUUCCCUCUUCCCUUCUGCCCACCACAUCCAGGAAGGAAGGAAAUGGAAGCGGCACAUUUUGCCACAACAUAGUGACUGUGAGAUUUUCUAAUGUGUUGUGAUGUUGGCAUCAUGUUACAUCAGUAUGCAUGGUUGCCAGCUCUUGCAAUUUUAUUGUCAAGUGUUGUGAUAUUUGGUGUGUUGUCUUAAAUCCCCAGCUCCUGAUUAUGGGAGAUCCAUAGCUCUUUUUCUCUCUCUCUCUUCCCCACCCUCCCAAAAAAAAAAAAAAAAAANNNNNNNNNNNNNNNNNNNNNNNNNNNNNNNNNNNNCCCAAAAAAAAAAAAAAAAAGAGUAUAUUUC
ensembl:lncRNA